rnacentral:rRNA from 1 species
GAUGAACGCUGGCGGCGUGCUUAACACAUGCAAGUCGAACGGUGAAGCAGAGCUUGCUCUGUGGAUCAGUGGCGAACGGGUGAGUAACACGUGAGCAACCUGCCCCUGACUCUGGGAUAAGCGCUGGAAACGGCGUCUAAUACUGGAUAUGAGCUGCGACCGCAUGGUCAGCAGUUGGAAAGAUUUUUCGGUCUGGGAUGGGCUCACGGCCUAUCAGCUUGUUGGUGAGGUAAUGGCUCACCAAGGCGUCGACGGGUAGCCGGCCUGAGAGGGUGACCGGCCACACUGGGACUGAGACACGGCCCAGACUCCUACGGGAGGCAGCAGUGGGGAAUAUUGCACAAUGGGCGAAAGCCUGAUGCAGCAACGCCGCGUGAGGGAUGACGGCCUUCGGGUUGUAAACCUCUUUUAGCAGGGAAGAAGCGAAAGUGACGGUACCUGCAGUAAAAGCGCCGGCUAACUACGUG